GCCAAUGUAGUGUAGUGGUUUAAGUGUUGGACUAUGACUCUGGAGACCAGGGUUUGAAUCCUGGUUUGGCC
rnacentral:tRNA from 1 species